UACGUAGGGUGCAAGCGUUGUCCGGAAUUAUUGGGCGUAAAGAGCUUGUAGGCGGUUUGUCGCGUCUGCUGUGAAAUUUCGGGGCUCAACCCCGAACUUGCAGUGGGGUACGGGCAGACUAGAGUGUGGUAGGGGAGACUGGAAUUCCUGGUGUAGCGGUGAAAUGCGCAGAUAUCAGGAGGAACACCGAUGGCGAAGGCAGGUCUCUGGGCCACUACUGACGUGAGAAGCGAAAGCAUGGGGGAGCGAACAGG
rnacentral:rRNA from 1 species